GCUCUUGUAGCUCAGUUGUUUAGAGCACCCGUUUAGUAAGCGGAAGGUCUUGAGUUCAACUCUCAACAAGAGCA
rfam:Ipomoea nil DNA, scaffold: scaffold0799, cultivar: Tokyo-kokei standard.